CAGCAGCCGCGGUAAUACAGAGGUGGCAAGCGUUGUUCGGAUUUACUGGGCGUAAAGCGUGCGUAGGUGGUUCCGUGUGUCGGAUGUGAAAGCCCGCGGCUCAACCGCGGAACUGCAUUCGAAACUGCGGUUCUAGAGUGCAGGAGGGGAGAGCGGAAUUCUUGGUGUAGCGGUGAAAUGCGUUGAUAUCAAGAAGAACACCGGUGGCGAAGGCGGCUCUCUGGAAUGUUACUGACACUGAGGCACGAAAGCUGGGGGAGCGAACAGGAUUAGAUACCCUGGUAGUCCCAGCUGUAAACGGUGCGCACUUGGUGUGGGAGGUAUUGACCCCUUCCGUGCCGGAGCUAACGCGUUAAGUGCGCCGCCUGGGGAGUACGGCCGCAAGGCUAAAACUCAAAGAAAUUGACGGGGGCCCGCACAAGCGGAGGAGCAUGUGGCUUAAUUCGAUGCAACGCGAAGAACCUUACCAGGGCUUGACAUGGUACUGCACGCCCCGUGAAAGCGGGAAGCUUUCGAAGGUGUAUCACAGGUGCUGCAUGGCUGUCGUCAGUUCGUGCCGUGAGGUGUUGGGUUAAGUCCCGGCACGAACGCAACCCCUGUGGUUAGUUGCUACCGCCGGUGAUAAGUCGGCGGGCACUCUAGCCGGACUGCCCGUGCAAGCGGGAGGAAGGUGGGGACGACGUCAAGUCAGUAUGGCCCUUACGCCCUGGGCUGCACACGUGCUACAAUGGUCGGUACAGAGGGAAGCAAUACCGUGAGGUGGAGCAAAUCCCCAGAAACCGGCCUCAGUUCGGAUUGGAGUCUGCAACUCGACUCCAUGAAGUCGGAUUCGCUAGUAACGGCGCAUCAGCUACGGCGCCGUGAAUACGUUCCCGGGCCUUGUACACACCGCCCGUCACAUCAUGAAAGCCGUCUGCACCCGAAGUCGCUGAGCCAACCCGCAAGGGAGGCAGGUGCCGAAGGUGUGGGUGGUGAUUGGGAUGAAGUCGUAACAAGGUAACCGUA
rnacentral:rRNA from 1 species